rnacentral:lncRNA from 1 species
UAUAUAUAUAUAUAUUUACUUAACUUUUGGGCCCUGAUAGCAGCCCAAGUCCAAGUGCCCACUACCCAUUACCAAACUAUCUUAUCUCUCACUCUAUUUCCUACGGACCAGACCAGAACACCCCCUCCCCCCCAACCGUCUCUCUCUCUCUUCUCUUUCACAACGUCUCUCUCUCAAUCUCUGACUUCUCUCUCUCUCUCAGUCUCUCUCCUAACUCUGCUCUAGCUCUCUCAUUUCUCAAGGUAUUCGAUUGAAAUUAAAUUUCAAUUUGUUUAUCUGCUGCUCCAUCCCUGCCAUUUGAGUUUGACUAAAAUUAAAGUGUGAAGAAGGAAGGUAUUUUUUCGAUUUUUCAGAAUUUCGAAAUUAAAUACUCCCAAGGAUUUCUUCAUCUUAAUUUCUGAUUCAUUUAAUUUCUGGUUUAUUUUAUCUUUGGUUAUUUUGAUUAAAUUUGUGUGAUUACAUAUAAUAUGUUGCCUAGAAAAUAUGCAUCAAGAAGUAAAAAAAAAAUAAAAGAAAAAUAAUUGAUGAGGUGAUUAAAACUCAAAGAAGAGCUCUUCAUAAGUUUCUUAUACCAAGUUCUAUUUCUUCGGUGAAAGAAGUAGAAGUGAUAAAUCUGACAUUGAUGCUGAAGAUUUAUAUUCUGAAUUGCAAGUGCUACAAAUGUGUUUACCAUCUGAAACAAAGUCUCUUGGUGAGGUUCUUGAGUUUGUUAAAGUUUCAGAUUGAUUUCCCAAUAUUUCUAUUGCAUAUAGAAUAUUGUUGACUAUACCAAUUACUAUAGCUUCAGCACAAAGAAGUUUUUCAAAAUUAAAAUUGAUAAAAUCAUAUUUUUGUUCUACUGUCUCAAAAAAGGUUGAAUGGAUUAGCAGUUUUAUGCAUUGAACAUGAGGUAUUAGAAAAGCUUGACCUUGAAGAAAUUAUUGAUGAUUUUGCGUCUCAAAAUGCUAGAAGAUCUAAGUUAUUUUUAUAAUUAUUUUAUCAUUGUUAGUUUAUUGCACUUUAUGGUCAAUGUUACAGGUUUACAGCCAUUUCAAAUUUGCUACAACUUCUCGAAGCUUCUUCUUUUAGGGGGCCUUUUUUUCCUUUUCGCCUAGUGCCCCCGGAAUAUCAGGGCCGGCCCUG